CCUCAAAAGCCUGCUCUCUUGGUGGGGUUGUUAUAGUUCUUUUCGAAGCGAGAGGCAAGGUGCCAGGAAGGGGGGGAGGUCUCGUGGGCAUCGCAGGUGUUCUCUCACAAUAGAGGGAGCGGUGCAGCUCAGGUCUCACCAAGUACGGUCAGUACAGAAACACCCCUUCGCAAACAUGGCCAGAAACCGUAACCGUCCCCCAUUGUUUCAUGCAUGGGUCCCUGAGGAGGGCGUCUUGGUCCAGUGGGUGCAGCUGCAGGGAGAAGCUUGGAUCUCUCCUGUGCUGUGGCCCAGGGUCCAUGGGGCUCUCCUGCUGACCAGUCAUGAGUCACGGGGUGGUGUAAGAGUCGGUCCGAAAAUCCCUCAUUUCUGCCUCACGACUGUCAGAGGCCAAGACCCUAACCCAUGGACCCUGAGCCACAGCACAGGCCAAGUUUUCCCUGCACCUGCUGUCACUGGACCAAGACGCCCUCCUCAGGGACCCAUGCAUGAAACAAUGGGGGACUGUUACGGUUUCUGGCCAUGUUUGCGAAGGGGUGUUUCUGUACUGACCGUACUUGGUAAGACCUGAGCCACACCGCUCCCUCUAUUGUGAAAGAACACCUGCGAUACCCACGAAACCAACCCCCCUUCCUGGCAUCUUGCCUCUCGCUUCGAAAAGAACUAUAACAACCCCACCAGAAGAGCAGGCUUUCGAGGCCUCCCCUUCGGACGACGGCUCCAUUGACCCGCGUGCCACGAAGACUGCGAAGGUGGUCUGUUGGUAUCGGCGUCACGAGGACUCCCGUCUGUCAGUCGGUAGCUAUCACCCUUUCUUUACCCCCCUUUCUCUCUCUCUCUCUCCCUCUCUUCUUUCCCCUUCUUUUCUAUCGCAUAACUGUGUGUAUCAAUAAAGAUACAAUUGAUUUCACUUGAAUUAAGUUAUCACUGCCUCUUUUUGCACUCUGAAAUCAAAACGAACCAUCACGACCAUCCUUU